rnacentral:rRNA from 1 species
UGGCGGACGGGUGAGGAAUACAUCGGAAUCUACUCUGUCGUGGGGGAUAACGUAGGGAAACUUACGCUAAUACCGCAUACGACCUACGGGUGAAAGCAGGGGAUCUUCGGACCUUGCGCGAUUGAAUGAGCCGAUGUCGGAUUAGCUAGUUGGCGGGGUAAAGGCCCACCAAGGCGACGAUCCGUAGCUGGUCUGAGAGGAUGAUCAGCCACACUGGAACUGAGACACGGUCCAGACUCCUACGGGAGGCAGCAGAU